AAGCUUGCAUUGGUAGCCCAUAUACUAAAAUUAAAAUGAUACAGAGAAUAUUAGCAUGGCCCUUGUACAAGGAUGCCAUGCAAAUUCGUAAAGCAUUCCUUUUUUUU